CUCCAGACUCCUACGGGAGGCAGCAGUGGGGAAUAUUGCACAAUGGGGGGAACCCUGAUGCAGCGACGCCGCGUGAGUGAAGAAGUAUCUCGGUACGUAAAGCUCUAUCAGCAGGGAAGAAAAUGACGGUACCUGACUAAGAAGCCCCGGCUAACUACGUGCCAGCAGCCGCGGUAAUACGUAGGGGGCAAGCGUUAUCCGGAUUUACUGGGUGUAAAGGGAGCGUAGACGGCACUGCAAGUCCGGAGUGAAAGCCCAAGGCUUAACCAUGGGACUGCUCUUGGAACUGCGUGGCUGGAGUGCAGGAGGGGCAGGCGGAAUUCCUGGUGUAGCGGUGAAAUGCGUAGAUAUCAGGAGGAACACCGGUGGCGAAGGCGGCCUGCUGGACUGCAACUGACGUUGAGGCCCGAAAGCGUGGGGAGCAAACAGGAUUAGAUACCCCAGUA
rnacentral:rRNA from 1 species